AAGUUUUGUGCCGAAGCCCGUAAU
rnacentral:siRNA from 1 species